ACACAUCAUAAGCACCACUCACAGAUGCAUACAGUAUAGAUAUUCAUGUAACUAAGAGCAUUCUGAAAGUGUACUCAUAAAUACAUAAACUGAAUGUGUUCUCUUUUUUAAGAAAAAAAAGACUUCAGAGCCAAUGGGUUUACAGCUGGGGAAACUGGACUGAUUUUUAGACUGGUUUAGUGUUAAUCAACAUCUAACUCAGGGACAAAAGUUACUUAACUGUUAAUUAAAAUUAAAUAAACAAACUGUUUACAAUCUUCAAUCCGUGGCAAACACAUGCAUUGAAGGAGAAAAAAAUAUUCACUAUUUCAAUAGCUAUUAUUGUGGGAUUUUAAGGUUAUAUGUUUGUAAAUAGUUUACUUAGAAGUGUUUUCAAUAAUCAUUAUAGCAUGUUGAAGUAAAAGAUUGUUUGUGUUUGUUUGAGAGAAUGGAAAGUCACUGAGAGGGAGCAGUUUGGGUGUGCAAAAGCUCCAAGGCCAUGGUUUUGGUUGAAUUAGCUUGGAAUGUGUACAGCUGGUGUUGGUCAAGAUAAGAGUGAGGCCUGAGGGAGAAAAGCAAACAGUCAUUCAUGUUAUUAACCAAUGUUUUAAUAUUUACAGGAUAAAAUAUGCAAUGUAUUUCUUACUUAAUCAGUAUUAAUCAUUGAAUAAUUGAUUAAAUAAAUAUAAGAUGUUGUCUUUGAUAAAUGUGUAUUAACCAAUGAAAUAAAGGUUGCAUACAGAAUAACCUAAAUGGGGGGCAUGGCAGCUCAACCUUGAAGAACAGAAUCUCUUGCGCUUGUUCUUUAUGUGUGUGUGUUUUCUUCCCUAACAGAUGGUUAUUAAUAAUGAUUUAAGUGUUUGCUUAGAAGUAGUAUUGCAGUAUAAGAUUUAAUAUGUGUUUAUCUAUCUAAAGAAGUUAAUGUGUGCCUUAUUCACAUAACCAAUUUUACGAAUAAUGAAAUGAUGUUAUGAUAUUGAAAUGUGUUUUACAUAAUAAUCAUUUUCAUCUUACAACUUAUGUCUUUUUAUGAAUAAAUGAAUGUUUUAUUAAUGACCUGUUUUAAGAAAGCAUUAUAAUAUGCUAUGUGGAGUCAAUCAUAUGUGAAGUGGAAAAGUAUUGGGGGAAUAGUUACAAAUUGAAGGACUCUCAAAGUUGUGCGGAGAACAGUUUGUUUUUUCUUUGUUUGUGUGUCCAUUUUUGCCUACAGGCUAAAACUGGGUGUGGUAAGGGAGUCAGGUGAACGAGAACAACCGAUGUGGGUGGAGAAUUCUAAGAGAAAUCGACGUCAUAUAAUAUAUAAAUAAUUGUUAGAAAAGAGGCUGGGUUGCCUUCGCUACCGAGUGUGGUCUUGAGAAGGCCCGGCAUGCUGUGAAACUUUUUCAUAUCUGAUCAAUAAAUAUUUGAACUUAGAUAUUUGUAUUUUGUGCCUUUCCUCUAAAUUAUGAACAUGCAAGGACGCCUUAAAGUCCAACAAUUGGUGACCCCGACGUUUCUUUGGAGGGAAAGGAGAGAGUGAAAGGAAGGAGGGUUUCAUAUUGAAGAAACCAAAGUAAGGGAGGAAUCCAAUUCAACACAAAAAGCGCGCUCUACUAAAAAGGUAAGCAGAGCCUGUUUUAUCGAAUUCUGCUCUUUGAAUAUACCAAAUUACUUGUGUUGAAAAGGAUAUCCGAACUGAAUUUUAACACAUAGAUAUUUUAAACAUAUGAUCAGAAUGAAAAACUUUUGAAAAAGGUACCUUGGUAAUUUAUGGUUGGAGUCCAUUAGUGUAUUAGACACUAUAAAGAACCAAGAGAAAUAGUAAUUUAUGGUUGGAGGCCAUUAGUGCAUUAGGCGCUAUAAAGUACCGAAAGAAGGGUGAAAGGCCUGUUGGAUGAGAACUCCACAAAAACUGAAAAGACGUCCUAUUUUUGUAUAGUUGUGUGUUUUUCGAUUUUCUUUGAAAAGACGGGUCAGUAGUCGCGCGGGUGAAAUUCCUGAAAACUACUGGUGUAUAUAUCCUUUUGCUUUCAAACUUUGCUAAAAGACGGGUCAGUAGUCGCGCGGGUGGAACUCCUGAAAACUACUGUUGUAUAUGCUUUUGCUUAAGAUAGGAGCGACUUGUGUGUCUUUGUAAUUUUCAGUGCUCGAAAAUUGUCUUAAAAUGGCUGAAUUUCAAAAAGAGUGUGAUGAGUAUGGUUGCCCACCGGUCUAUGUUCAGUGGCAAAAAAAAUAUUGAAACUGAUGUUGGCCCAAACCGAUCCAAAAGAUAUUAAGAAAAGACAAAAGGAGGUUACAUCAGCAUGGAACACAUUGUGUGAAGAAAAUUGCUGGGUUACGGAGGAGAAAAAACGUGUUCCCCUGACUCCCAUCAUUUUUGCCAUGGAACAUAGACUGGUACACAGAAUUGAGAUUGUAAAGGCAGAAGGAAAAAGUGGUUUGGCAAAGGGCCAACUGUGACAGGCUUAGAGAAAGAGUAGAGAAUUCGGACGAGAUUAGCUCUGAUCGCUGCUGCCAUGCAGGCUAUCAAACCAAAGAAGAAAAUGGGAAGUUGGCAGUGGUGCAGCUGCAAAGCAAAAGGAAAUUGAACAAGGAAACAGUCAGCCAGACUCAAGUGUGACGCCCACAGCUCCUCCCAUGGCUCCUCCUCAAGUGAAGUCGCUACACCCCUCACUGCAAACAACUCCUCCUUAUGAGGAAAAGUCUGUUUCGAUCUCAAAGCAACAGCCGGUGUUAACAGUAAACAGCGGUGAACUAGAUGUUGAAUUUGAUGAAAUAGAGGCCCUGAAAAGAAAAAUGGAAAGAUUACAACAAACAAUUAUGACACAAGGACAGAUAAUCACAACUCUAUUAAGAUUUCAGAGAAAUGUAAAUGCUAACAACAGGGGAAAGAGAUUACACAGACAGGGCCAUAAACAAAUCACAAACAGAACUUGUACAGGUAGAUACGAUUAAGAAUGGGCUUUUGAGACUGUAGCUGUACAGGCCACAGACAAAAAUAAACACAUUCCACAGCAGGUUGCCCAGCCACCCUCCACUUCAGGUCCUCCCAAUGUGCUAUAGUAUGACCAAUAUUGACAAGCCUAUGGUCCACCGGACCCUUAUGCAGGCCCACCCUACACAGGCAACCCAUGGGGAGGUUAUCAGCAAUAUAGAGGGGCUCCCAGAGGACGGGGUGGUAGUAACAGAGGGGGGUAUGGUGCUUUUGGAGGGAAUACAUGUUAUGUGUGUGGACAGGAAGGUCAUUGGGCCCGCAGGUGCCCACAACUCGGGCCACAGCCCCAAUAUUCCAGUGUACGGCAUCCACUUAACGCACCGAAUGCAAGGGGAUGGGGUCCCAAUAGAGGAGGUAGCGGGCGUGGACAUGGUGGUUUUGGCAGGGGACCACCAGGGCCACACAACUCAUCAUCACCUGAUUUAAUGGCGCCUAUGCUCCCAUCAUGGGGCCAGGGUGGUGGUGCAGAGGAAUGACGGGGCACACAGGGAACCACCAUGGGGGGAAUGGCCGAGCCCCUCAUGGACAUAGUGGUGAAUGGCACACCACUAAAAGCUCUAGUGGACACUGGAGCUACAUACUCUACUGUAAUAAGCGGCACCGUAUGGUCAGCAUAUUUAAGUAACAAAAGAGUGAGUGUGAUGGGUUUCUCUGGUGAAAUUGAAAAGUGGCCAUUGACAAAACAGUUACCAACACAAGUUGCUAAUCAACUUGUCUCGCAUUCAUUUCUGUACUCCUCCAACGCACCUGCUCCCCUAAUGGGCAGAGAUUUGUUAACAAAACUAGGGGCUAGCAUACUAUGUUCAACUGAUGGUAUUGUAGUUAGGUUUCCAGACGGACACACAGUUAACUGUUCGUUGAGCUCAACAGAGACAGGUAAUCAAUGGAUGUUAGUGGGGGGGAAAUAUAAGGAGUCAGUCGACAUUUAUUGGGCAGAACUGGAGGUCGACUGGGAGGAUGAAAUGUCUAGCAACAGUGUAGUGUCUCUUUACAACACCCACAAGUCAUGGAUACAAGACAGGGCCCUAUUUUUACCCCCCAUAGACCCACUUCACUGCACCAUGUUUUAUGACAGGUUUGACAAAACAACCUAUGAGGAACUUUUCAUGUCCAUUGAGGGGACCAAGUGGAGACUGGUGGAUGGUGGUAUGUGGUAUAUUUGUUGGCAAACAAGGCGUGGCUGCACCCAUAUUUUUGUCAGACGGCCAGAAAGAAUGGUAUAGGAUGUCUGACACAGCCGCACCACAUAUUUCACUAGCUUUGCACCCAAACCAUGAGGCUAGAGAGCUAGGCAGCAUGGUUAAGACGCUUUUAACCCUUACCACUGGCAACCAUCACAUAUCUCAGGGGUAUGGCACUCACAUAGUCAUGACGUUUAUUGGAUCAGGCAGCAGACAGAGGAUGUAGCCAUCCUAAAACACGAACAACCUACCAGGAGUUAUGGUAGGGAAAACACAGACGGUGAAGGGACGGGACAACUAAUUGAAAGCAUGCCACAUGACCUAUGGUCACAGGGGCCUACGGACGUAGGUUUUUGCAAUAUCACCCCGGUUUCAUUUAAGCCCUAUACAUUUCAACAGACAAAACAUAACAAAGUAUUUACCAAUAUAUAUUACUGUGUCCUACAGAAAGCUUACCAAAAUCCUGGCCAACCAAACCUGAAAUUAUGUCCAUGAGGGUGUAAACAUGGCAGAUCUAAUCACUGAGGGUGAGCCAUGUGACUGCAUACCAUUGACUGAAAAAGCAAAUAUAUUGAGAGAUGGUUUGUUCGCGGUACCACUGCCCAUACGGAAAUGUAAUAUAUGUGAAUAUAUGAAAUAUCCCUAUAUGAAAUAUAUGGUAAUAUAAAGUAGAAACAUAUAUGUACAUAUAUGUACAACCAUAUAUGACACCUAUUCGAAAAUGGAACAAUUUCAUAUAUUGACAUAUAUGUCUAUCCCAUACAAAUAUAUGUCUAUGUGUGCAAAAAACAUACAUAGACAUAUAUGUCAUCUAUAUAAUUAUUUAUAUAUGUGACAUACAUGACUUCACAUAUAUGUCUAAUAUAUGUUGCAUACAUAUACUUAUCAUAUAUCAUAAAAUAAUUAAAUUUGAGCCGUGGAUUUUAUCUAUUUUUUGCAUGUUUCAGACUACAGGUAGGACGUACAACCCAUUCACACAACUUAACACACAAACACAAUUUAUUAUUUGUAAUGUACCUGAUGAGUCCAGUCGGGCCUCGAACCCGGGUCCUCACGUUGAAAGUCGUCCGCGCUAUCCACUGAUCCACCCAGCCGUUGGAUGGGAGGGGCUAACAACUUAAGCUAUUUGUGUGUUACUGAAGUAGGCGCUGUUUAGCUUGUAUUUUACAGUGUUCGUUUUAUUAUUCCUUCUGUUUUUAUUUUAUGCAGGGGUACACAGUGCAAAUUUAACCCUUGUGCGUUGUUCAAAUUUAAUACAUCCACUAAAUUAAACAUCUGUAAAAAUGUAUCAGAAUAUUUUUUCACUUUUUUUUGCAUAAAUUUCUUAGUCAGUUCUGAUCAAAACUACCAAAUUUUUACAAAAAUUCCAUGAUUUUAACUCUUUAAUUGCCAAGUUCAUAAGUGGAUUUGGGGAAAAUCUAAAUGACAAAUUUUCAAUACAAAAAGUGAUUGUAGACUGGAUUUUUUUAACCUUUUUCGCAGUCUUGGGCAUGUCAAAUAUAAAGUAAAAACAUUGGCUUUUGAUUAUUGUUUUCUUCCUCAUUUAUUGUAAGUGGCUGUUUUUGCCCCAUUGACUUCCAUAAUAACCACAUUUUUGCAAAAGGAAAAACCACCAACAUUGAAUUGCAUUUUUGAAUGUUGGUGGUUUUUCCUUUUGCAAAGAGGUCAAAUUUGUCAUUUUUACUGUUGAUCACCAUGUGGCACCAUUAACCCUUUAGUAGACCUGUGCUGUGCAGAGCUUAAUUUCUAGCUUGUACAUUGAGUAAUAUGGGGGCGGUUUCCCGGACAGGGAUUAUCUUAAUCCAGGACUAGGCCUUAGUUUAAUUAGGAAAUAUAACUAGUUUUAACAAACAUGCCUUACUAAAAACAUUACCUGUAUGCAUUUUGAGGCAAAACAAAGGGCCCUGAUGUAUUUUAAGAUAUGUCAGUGCAAGUUGUUUUCAGUUUGGACAGCUCUUAAAAAUGUUUUAGUCUAGGACUAGUCUAUCUGUCCGGGAAACCGCCCCCAUGGAGUAUAACUCCAUAAUAAAAGUAUAGUAUUGUGCCAAAUGCAUGCAGUUUGAAACUAGGCAGGGUUAUAAUGUUAUGACCCUAAUAAUUUUUAAACAAUAUAUUUACAGACCUAUAUAGGCUAUGUUGUUUUAGAAAUCUAGACAUAAAACAUAUUGAUAUCAUAUGGUUGGAGCAUACAGUAUCAUGUAAAAAUCCAUCUUAUAUGGUUGUAAAAUACAAACCCAUAUAAGAAUUCAUACAUAUACAUAUUUUAAAUAUAUGUAUUUAAAUACAUUUUAAUAUGAGUAUUCCAUAUAGGUUUAAAACAUAUAUCUUCAUAUAUCAAGAGUAUCUAUAUAUGUGAUAUUAAUAUAUGUAUUUAUAUACAUUUUAAUAUGAGUAUUUCAUAUAGGUUUAAAAAAUAUAUCUCAUAUAUCAAGAUUAUUUGUAUAUGUGAUAUUCAUAUAUGUAUUUAUAUACAUUUUAAUAUGAGUAUUUCAUAUAGGUUUAAAACAUAUAUCUUCAUAUAUCAAGAGUAUCUAUAUAUGUGAUAUUAAUAUAUGUAUUUAUAUACAUUUUAAUAUGAGUAUUUCAUAUAUGUUUUAAACCUAUAUAUUCAUAUAUCGUGAGGAUCUAUAUAUGUGAUAUUAAUAUAUUGCAUAUAUAUGUAACAUAUAUGCCAAGAUCGGUUUUGAUAUAGGGACAUAUAUGUCAUAUAUUACAUUUCCGUAUGGGUGACAACUCCCCGACCGGUAAUCACACUGUUUACAGAUGGUUGUUGUUUCAGAGCAGCAGAUGGCACAUUGAAGGCAGGUUUUGCAGUUGUUGAACAGGUUGAAAAUGAUUUUGUAACAAGACUGAGUGGUAGGUUGAACGGUAAACAGUCAGCACAGAGAGCUGAAAUGAUAGCUGUUAUCAAAGCCUUGCACUACAUGGUGAAGAGAGGGUGACCAUUUUUAGUGAUUCUGCAUAUGUGAUUGGUGCAGUAUAUAUGGAUCUGCAUAGGUGGGUUUGAAACCAGGAAAGGCCGGCCUAUAACAAAUGCUAGCGAAGCCUGACACAUACUACAGGCUGUGAAGGUACCUAAUGAAGUGGCUGUUGUCAACGGCCUAAUAGACCACUUAUAUCCCCAACCAUGGUUUCCCAAGACAAAGUUAGAUCUGACAGACUGACAAACACGCAAUGGAAUUGACAUAUAGUUUCGGGGCUGCUUGACACCCCAAUGACAGAGCAAAGCUGAAAUAAUGAACCUGACCUUGACAUCAAAACUUGACUUGACAAAAUCUGUGCACAGACAAAAAAUAACCUGGCUUGAUGCAUUGCCAAUUGCAUUAAUGUCUAUUUGCUUUUCUGUUAACAGGAUCACUGGUUUGACAACAUUUGAAUUGUUUACAGGUCGCCAGUUUCCGGGUCCGAGGAAUGCCCUGGUGAAGGACCCUAUCCUGCCACUAACACAUGCUGUUUCUUUUGACACACUAACUGAUCUGAUUGAACAUUUUUCAUGGCAGGCUACCAAAACACGUGAAGGGGACAGUGGCCAAACCAAAAGUACAGUAUAGCUGAUUGGGUGAGAGUAACGGUGUUAAGGAGGAAGUGGGACGAGCCCACAUGGUCCAAGUCGCUAAGAGUGACUGCCAGGCCGUCGCAUUGUGUGUAGCUCCAAGGAAAAGGAGACACCUGGUUUUAUGUUUCUUCUUGUGUUCCAUGUGAUUUUCCUUCCAGGUCACUGACAGACACAGGUGUGGACCUGAGGACUCAGGUCCAAGAGAGGGAGGUGGUUGAGAGGUUGUUGAAAGUGAAAGUAAACUAAACCUGCUGGAGAGCAGAGAGAACAGACGGGAAGUGAACCACUAUUGGUAACACCCACACAACACCAACCACAAAGUCAACAGACAAUCUGUAAAAUUGUGCAUAAAAAAGGUGACAUUUUUUCCAGCCCAGCAACAGAACCCCUAGCACACUGUGUAAGCGCAGAUUGUGCAUACGGUGCAGGUAUAGCCGUACAGUUCAAGGCAAAGUACGGUACACAAAAGGUUGUAAGUCAAAACAAACACACAGGUGAAUGUGCAGUUACCCAUGAGGACGACGGCAGACUGGUCUUUCAUUUAAUAACCAAACAAAACUGUACUGAUUUACCAACAUAUGAGAAUUUUACUAACAGCCUCAGAUGCAUGAGAGAUUGGUGUGAGGAAAAAGGAAUAACAAGUGUGCCUACUCCCCGGCUGGGGUGUGGGUUAGAUAAAUUGAUAGAUAAAUUAGAUAAAAAGACUAAAGUGUAGGGGAGAUCGAGCUUUUUUACAGUGCGGCUCCAAGGCUUUGGAACAGCUUACCUGUUAGCUUAAGACAGGCUCCAUCUCUCCUUACUUUUAAAUCUAGACUCAAAACUUUUUUAUUCUCAAAAGCCUUUGAGGAAAAUUUUAAUUAAUGUGAUUUUAUUUUAUUUUUCCUGUGUCUUUUAUCUAUUGAUGUGAUUUUAUCUUAUUUUCUCUUCUGUCUUUUAUCUAUUAUUUUAUCUAUUUGGAAACAACAGCUGUUGUUUUAAAUUGUGCUAUAUAAAUAAAUUGUCAUCAUUGUCAUUAAAUUGGAUUUCCAUAAGGUGGUGGAAAUCCUGACAGAAGUGUUCAGGGACCUGAACAUCACAAUUACUGUUUGGUCAUUAUACCCUGAAUAACUACAUACCAUAUUGGUAUAUGAAUUUUGACCUUUGAAUUUCUUAAGUUUCUUAUAUAGUCUUACAUUUCAAUGUUUCCUUUUUGAAUUUACGAUUGUUAUUUGAGUAUUAGCCAAUAGGCAUAAGUGUAUUUUUUCCACAGAGAUGAAGCUAUAUGGAAAUUGGAAGGUUCUGUGGGCCCUAGGGGCUAUAACUGCAAUUAUAAUUACCAUACUAUUUGGCAUAAACAAUGGAGGUAAUCUGAAAAUUGACAAAAGGUCCAAAACAACACCACAAGAUCCGUGUUUAAAGAGAUAUGGGGGAAUUGAAUUAAAUUACACAAAAAUUGAACAAUAUCAUACACCUUGGAUUUGGCCAUACUGGUCAAUUGUGGAUGUUGUUGUAUCCCCUGUCUCAGAUCCCUGUGUAACAGGCUGAUAGUGUCUGCAAUAGAGAAAAAAAAGAAAAUCCACCCCCAUACAGUAUGCCGCUCUUAGGCCUACAGAACCUGGAGGAUGAUGAGGAGGAACAGGUGUGACCUCUUUCAGAGGUCAAGAGAGGGAAUUGUGGGAUUUUAAGGUUAUAUGUUUGUAAAUAGUUUACUUAGAAGUGUUUUCAAUAAUCAUUAUAGCAUGUUGAAGUAAAAGAUUGUUUGUGUUUGUUUGAGAGAAUGGAAAGUCACUGAGAGGGAGCAGUUUGGGUGUGCAAAAGCUCCAAGGCCAUGGUUUUGGUUGAAUUAGCUUGGAAUGUGUACAGCUGGUGUUGGUCAAGAUAAGAGUGAGGCCUGAGGGAGAAAAGCAAACAGUCAUUCAUGUUAUUAACCAAUGUUUUAAUAUUUACAGGAUAAAAUAUGCAAUGUAUUUCUUACUUAAUCAGUAUUAAUCAUUGAAUAAUUGAUUAAAUAAAUAUAAGAUGUUGUCUUUGAUAAAUGUGUAUUAACCAAUGAAAUAAAGGUUGCAUACAGAAUAACCUAAAUGGGGGGCAUGGCAGCUCAACCUUGAAGAACAGAAUCUCUUGCGCUUGUUCUUUAUGUGUGUGUGUUUUCUUCCCUAACAGAUGGUUAUUAAUAAUGAUUUAAGUGUUUGCUUAGAAGUAGUAUUGCACUGUAAAUAAUUUUCGUUGUUUUCACAGUUUUUUACUGUUUUUCUCGACAGUUUCUUACUGUAUAAGUUGUUUACAGUUUGUUACUAUAGAUUUGUUGUUUCCACAGUAUUUUAAUGUAUUUUCAACAGUUUUUUACUGCAUAAGCUUUGUACAGUAGGCUACUGUAGUUUUCCAAUGCAUUAUGGGAAAUAUUACUCUGAAUACAGUAUUACCAACCAACUGCAAAACACAAUGACAAACGUCUAUUUAUAUCUUAAAUGCUUAAUUUUUUUGUGAGAUAUUUGGUUUAAUGUCUGUUUUCACAUCAGAUGCUCUGUGUGUUCCUUUAACAUAAAUCAGGUGCCUUUUCUGAGGCUUUAAUGAAAUCACCAGCCAAUUCAAUAGACAUACCAUCAGUUCUUAAUAUUGUUGCCUCUGUGUCACAAAAUGUAUUUUUAAGAUUAGUUUAGGCGAUAAUAUAUAUAUGUAUAAUCUUCAAAUAGCAGUCGAUUAGUUAAAAAAGCGCUAAUUUUAGAAUUUGAUUAAACAAAUGCGGAGGGUUCAGGCGCGAGUCGGUCACGUGAUGUGCUCCUCAGUUCUGUCAGUAGGGGGAGUGGGAGAACGCGUGUGUGUCGUCGUAUCUGUUCUGCUCAUCUAGCGCGUAUUUCUUUAUUAAUAUCUGCUGGGUGAAUAUUAAUACGUAUAUGCUAACAUUAAUUUUGUGACCACAAAAUGACAGCGAGCUAUUAUACGAGAUAUUGUGUCGUCGUGUUUGUCUUCACUCACUUCAUCAUUAUCUGGUAAGUGCUAUAUGCAAUAUCUGGUAUGAGACUUUAUUGGCACUAAAGGGUUCUUUCGGCUAAAUUUUACUUAAUUUCUGUCAUAACAGCAAACAACUUCUGCAACUACACAAUGAUUGUCUGCCUGUGUGCAAAAUAAAGCACGUUCACUGUGUAAAACCCCGCGCAGGGCAUUUUCAAAUUAACGGUCAGGGCGAGUCUGAGCUUAUCGUGUUGUGUUGACAGAGACUUUGCUGAGUGUAUGUAAAUCUGGGCUACAGUCCACGACAAAUUUUCUACGGUAGAUUUACGCCUGCAUGCUGGUCCUUUCGUCUAUCGCGGGGAUAUCAUCACUUCAGCGGACAUCGCACUGAAGAGAUCCUGUGCUUGCGUGGCGGUGUGUUUGUGUGCUCACUUGGAUUGAGACCAGCAGUGCUUUUUUAAAAGUGGGUGAGUACUAACUUAUUAUUGUGUAGUUUCAUAAAAGCCUUACUCUUUUCAGUCACAUAACUUUUGUUCAUCUGCUAAUAAUAGGACUAUCCAUACACAAAGAUGUAUUGUGGAUUUAAGUAAUAUCUGCGAAUAUUUAUGUGAAAAUGUAUUAGUGUUCUGCUGACAUGAGAUCUGAAAUUGUGUUCUAGGACCUGAUAUGGAUUAAUCCAAUGAUCAACGUUUUCCUUUGUAUCCCUGUUUUGUAUACGCUGCCAUUACAUGAUGGUCAUAUGUCCCGGAUGAUCGGGAGAAGUCACGUGGUUCAAUUAUUAUUAUUUUUUUACGUGGUUCAAUUUUUUUUCAAUUUUUUUUUACCAUGCAUUUAGCAUCAGGCAAAGCCUGCAAUCAAUCUAUUAAGACAGAAACAAUAUCUUACUUAUUAUUAUGUUGUUAUGACAAUAUCAUGUGAUCAUCUGAGUUAGAACAAAAUCUAUUCAUUUUCAGGUAUUACUGUGCAAGUUCCCUGAAUCAUUCUGUUGAAAUGUUAUGUGUUUAAGAUUCUUUAUGACAUCAAGAUGUGGUUUGGGAAGGACCUUCAUCUAAAUCUGAAGACAGGACAUACUGGCUCAAAAAGGUACAAUAUUUUUUAUACCCAAUUUGAAAUGUUGAACAAUUACUUUACUUUACUUUACUGUACUGGACUGGUCAAGCGUUUGGUCAGGAACUGCCUAUACACUUGAAAAAUGCACAGAACUGGAACAGCACAUCAGUUGGGAGCACAUUAACAAGGAUGAAAUUUAUCCAAUAAUUAUUUUAAUAUUUAUAGGUAAGCAACUACUUGCUGAGUGUAUUUAAUGAGUGUGUAUUAAUCUCUUACAGCUCCCAUACUUAGUACAGUAUAUUUUAAUCAGUGUGGCAAUAACUUGUGUUUUAUUUUUAUGUUUACACAGGUGUUUCUGAUAUGGAGAAAAACCCAGCACUGCUCAUUUUAUUUCUUCAUCUUGAGAAUACAGCAAGUUUACCUUUUGUCUGGAAAAUGAUUCAGCAAAGCUAACACCAACAACAAUUUUUCAUGGCACUUUAAACCACCUUGAUGUGAGGAGCCAGCAUCAGAAUGGAUGGUGUCAAUAUCCUGAAAGUGGAGGUAACAGAGGUGGAUCUCGAGACUUGGCCAUGUUCUAGAUUAUAACUGGAUUACCACAAGUGCUGUCGCCCCUGCUGUAUAUGACGCCCCCACCACCUACACCAGGUGUAGGAAAUGUCGGUCCUGGAGUGCCGUUGUCCUGCAGAGUUUUGCUCCAGCUCUAAACAAACACACCUGAACAACUAGAUCUGAAGAGUCACCAGAAAACUACAGGUAGGCGAGGUUUUAUCAGGGUUGGAAAUGAAAUCUGCAGGAUUUCGGCACUCCAGGACCGACGUUGCCUACUACUGACCUACACCUUCAUCCUGCCACCACCACCCAUACUACCUACAAAAAACUGUAUUGUAAUUAUGCUUUUCACUGUAUUGUAUGAUGUGGUUUUCUCAUUUAGGGUAACUACACUAUGGCAACAAUUGGAUACAUUGAUUGCUGACUGAUUUUGUUAUUUUUUCUUUACUUUUUGUUUAAAAUCUAAUCAUUUUUUUGUUAUUUUUGUUAAUAUUGUUACAAAUAUACAGUUAAAAACUGCACAAUAAAUUGUCUGCUUUUAAAGAUAUAGUUGUUGUCUUUAUAUUUAACAUCAACCAAUAAAAUAACAGUAUUUAAUUUAAUCUUAAAAAAUACAGUAGUAUAUAUUUUACACUGUAAAAUAAAUAACAGUAAAAUUGGAAAAUACAGUAGUAUAUAUUUUAUACUGUAAAAUAAAUAACAGUAACAUUUCCAGUAUAACAGUAAAAUGCUGUAUGUUGGAUCUUACAAAAAACAGUAUAAUACUGUACUUCAUUUUGCAGUAUCCUUUAAACUACUGUCAUUUUUUCUACAGUAAUUUUACUGUUGUUUGAAAUACAGGAACUACUGGAUAAUUGUUGCCAGUAAGUUACUGUUAAUUUGACAAUAAACUUUUUACAGUGUGCAGUAUAAGAUUUAAUAUGUGUUUAUCUAUCUAAAGAAGUUAAUGUGUGCCUUAUUCACAUAACCAAUUUUACGAAUAAUGAAAUGAUGUUAUGAUAUUGAAAUGUGUUUUACAUAAUAAUCAUUUUCAUCUUACAACUUAUGUCUUUUUAUGAAUAAAUGAAUGUUUUAUUAAUGACCUGUUUUAAGAAAGCAUUAUAAUAUGCUAUGUGGAGUCAAUCAUAUGUGAAGUGGAAAAGUAUUGGGGGAAUAGUUACAAAUUGAAGGACUCUCAAAGUUGUGCGGAGAACAGUUUGUUUUUUCUUUGUUUGUGUGUCCAUUUUUGCCUACAGGCUAAAACUGGGUGUGGUAAGGGAGUCAGGUGAACGAGAACAACCGAUGUGGGUGGAGAAUUCUAAGAGAAAUCGACGUCAUAUAAUAUAUAAAUAAUUGUUAGAAAAGAGGCUGGGUUGCCUUCGCUACCGAGUGUGGUCUUGAGAAGGCCCGGCAUGCUGUGAAACUUUUUCAUAUCUGAUCAAUAAAUAUUUGAACUUA